ensembl:lncRNA
AGAAGACACAUCUUGGAGACCAUCAGUAUAAAGGAGUGUGGUUGGGAUGGGGAAGUUAGGGUUAAAAGGACAAUGCUAGGAGGAAGGCUGUGAAGUCUUGAAUCUACUCACUUUGGAGAAUUUCUUACACUAAAGAAGCUAUUCUCCAAGAAAAGCAAAAUGUUGGGUAUGAAGAGAUUAUUUCUGGAGCUCAAGGAGUGCAGUUAACAGUUUUCUGCUUGUGAGGGCUUUUCGCUACAAAAGUCAGUAUUAUUGAAGCUUAGGGGGAAAAACAACCAAACAAAAAUAACAGCAGUAUAUAAUAGCAUAUUCAGGGAGAAGACAGUUGGUAACUAUCAAACUGUUGUUUUCAGAGACCUGGAAAUAGCACAAGAGGGAAGGAGACUGCCAAGGUCAUCGAACUGCAGAUCCCAACAACCGCAUCAGCCGCACUCAUCAAGAAGUGCAGACAGAAUGUGUUUCCCCAAACCUACACUGUUAAUGGUCAACACUGUCAACUUCUUGGAUGCAGAACUGUAUAGAGAAAGAGAAGAUCAAACCAAACAUCGCUUGAGAAUCUGGACCAUAAGGAACCACAACAGAAACUAAGACACGAAGAACCUCAACGCUUUUAAGGGACACUCCUCUAUAUGGCUGUCCAUUAACCCAAACUGAGAGGUCUCCUUUCUUAUAUGCUGGACACCAUCCAUUUCCUGUUCCUCAGGGUACUUGAAGGCUGAAGCAGCCCAAAUGAUGAUUUUUGCUGCCAGCUGGGGGCACUCAGCCCAGGCCUUGAGCUGGUUGUAGGUGACUGAAAUUUGAGCGCUACCAGGAGGAUCCUCCAUAAUUCCUCAUCCCAAACUGUGAACUGAAUUCAGUGUUCACCUCUGAACAGGGAUAAGAAAACCAGCCUGGAAAAUAAUACUCAUUUCAGUAAUGCUACCCACACUGCAUCCAACCUGAGAGUCUGAACAUCAGCAUCCAUGUGUUGACUGGUGGGACCUGCACUUGGGAUGUUGUGCAAACCCCAGACAGAUUGUGACAGAAGACUAGCAUACUUCAGAAACAUUUCUGCUGGUCCAGAUAGAAGUAGAAGCAGCUGGCAGAGACUCCGUGACAGAAAAGAACAGCACGUUAGGCAAUGCAGUGGAAAGGCUUUUGUUCCAGCUGCAUGCUAUGCAAUGGCUUCUCAAAGGAAAACCCAAAGUCUCUCACUGAAUUUAGCAUCAGCCUGGACCAAUCUUGCUCUUUUGCUAUCAUGUCCCAGUCUCUCUGAG